UUUGAGUGACGUGGGCAGGCAGCUCCAGCCUCCAUUUCCCAUGAGCAGUCUGGAGGAGCAGCAGGACUCCCAUCUCAGGCAAACAGGAAAUGGGAGCUAAAUUACUCAGGAAGUUUCAGUUGGUCAUCAGAGGCCUCUGCACUGUCAGAUUUUGGAGUUUUAUGGUUAAAGAAACAUCUAUUCAGUGCACCGUGUCUCUCCGGUUCCUCUGAAUAUCGUUUUCUUGUAUCCGAGUAUCCAGCAUCCAAGUGUGGUAGGAUCUGAUGAGGAUCUGAUACACAAUCAGAGGAGCCCUGACAAUAUUGACGAUAAACUGGCCAGCGUCCGCCGUGUCCUCAUCGCGAUGACACCAGACGAAAGGAAAAAAGGAAGAAAAAAAAGGAUCUGGAAACCACAGUGACCAUCAUUGUAUUUCACGUUUAUUAACACUAAAUAACCAUUGGCAACUUAUUUUAAUUAAUUUUACGGAGUGCCGACCCGGCGAUGUGAAAAUCCUCAUGCACGGGCACGGACCUUUAUGACGUGUGGAUCAGCUAUUCCAGCACAGCGGAAAGAUUGGAUUGCCUGGAUCUGGGGAAGAGGCGCAGUGUUUUAGGCCUGUGGCAGUGGCGGCUGCAUUGUGAUGAGGACCCACACACACACACACACACACACACAUAGAAACUCAUCGUUUUACAAAGGGCUGAAACACACUCUGAGGAGGAAGGGACUUUUUUAUAAUAAAACAGGCCAAAGCUG